rnacentral:misc_RNA from 1 species
UUUCCGUAGGUGAACCUGCGGAAGGAUCAUUAGUGAAUCGGCCCUCCGUGGCCUUCAUAACCAAUCCUCACACCUCUGUGAACUGUCGGGCCCUCCUCGGGCCCACCUUUAUACACAAACAUCUUGUCGUCAUGAACGUAUGCAUCAUAAAUGAAAACAAAACUUUCAACAACGGAUCUCUUGGCUCUCGCAUCGAUGAAGAACGCAGC